rnacentral:lncRNA from 1 species
UUUAGCAACCUCCACAGCCCAGCAGCCGGAGAGCGUCCCCGCGUCACCAAGCAACCUGAAACUGUAUUUGUUCUCAAUCUUGUUCCUGUGCCUUGCUCGCUCUCUCCAACCUCUCUCUGUCCUCCUUCCUCUGCUACUUCUACAACUGUUCUUCCCUCACUUUCUUCCCCUCUUCCACCUCCACUGUGGCAGAGGAAAAGAAGGUUAAACACCUUUACCACGUCAAACUCUACCACCCCUGUCUCUCCUCCAUAUCCAUCUGCCUCUUCCAUUUCCAAGCCUUUGAGUCAGGAGGUGCCACUGGUAAAGAACAGAAGAAAAGGUUGUCAAAAAUGUAGUAGGCAGAAGGUUUUCCUUUUUGAUAAAAUAACUGGGGAACGAAUAAAUGAGGUAAAAUGUCUUAUUAGGCCAUGUGCUGGCCUUUCAAAGGUAAUAUCCAGUGAUUGCUUAAACAGUUAAAGUUAAAUUAUUACUUGUGUUUGUUUGUGUUUGUGUAGGGGAAAGCUGAAUUGAAAGUUCACUGGUUGCCUUGCACUGUGUGGUAAGUCAUGUUUUAUUUCCUAGUUAAUUCCAUUUCAAUGCAAUGGAUUAGUCCAUUCCAUGACCCAAUACAAUCAAACACACCUGAACAAGAUCAUCAAGGUCUGAAAGGUUGCUAGAAAGCUACAGGCAGGUGAGUUUUUAUGAGGGUUGGAGCUAAACUCUGCAGGACUGAGAGCUACAACAACCAUCAUGUUAACACAGCGCACACAACACCUCUUUAGCACUUUAUUUCUCUCAACAUUAGGACAGGAGAGCUGUCAGUCAAUAAAUGUGAAAAAGUAACUUAGAUUUUUUGGUUAUAAGCUCCCAGAUCUUGGCAGUAAGUAAUCCUCUGAGGUAGCCUGUAGAAAAACUGGUGUGAGGUCGACGGUCAGUACUCUGAUUUAAAUAGCGAUGAGCUAGAGGCAUUGGGAAGAGCUAGAUCUGCAAUCCUGAGGAUCAGACAGAAAAAACAAAUAAAGGGAUUGGUGCGGGUGCCAUUCACAUAAAAAAAGAGUUAUAGUAUGUAAAGUGUGUUUGUGUGUACGCUCUUGUAUACAUGGUUGUAUACAAGGACACAAAUGUGUGUAAGGACAUGGGUAUUACAAUAUAAACAUGGUUUAUGAGGACACACUAAACAGUGUUUUUUUUUUUUUUUUUAUUAAAAAAUGCUGACAGUUUCCUGUGAUGGGUAGGUUUAAGCCAGGCACACACUUAAGGAUUGUAAGGCUUGUUAUGACUGUAAUUUAAUACUUACGACUGAUCAUGCCCAAGUGUGUCAACUCAUAGCCAGUUGCGUUUAGUCAGU